rnacentral:rRNA from 1 species
AGCGAACGCUGGCGGCAGGCCUAACACAUGCAAGUCGAACGAACUCUUCGGAGUUAGUGGCGGACGGGUGAGUAACACGUGGGAACGUGCCUUUAGGUUCGGAAUAACUCAGGGAAACUUGUGCUAAUACCGACUGUGCCCUUCGGGGGUAAGAUUUAUCGCCUUUAGAGCGGCCCGCGUCUGAUUAGCUAGUUGGUGAGGUAAAGGCUCACCAAGGCGACGAUCAGUAGCUGGUCUGAGAGGAUGAUCAGCCACAUUGGGACUGAGACACGGCCCAACCUCCUACGGGAGGCAGCAGUGGGGAAUCUUGCGCAAUGGGCGAAAGCCUGACGCAGCCAUGCCGCGUGAAUGAUGAAGGUCUUAGGAUUGUAAAAUUCUUUCACCGGGGACGAUAAUGACGGUACCCGGAGAAGAAGCCCCGGCUAACUUCGUG